GCGGAUGUGGCGGAAUUGGUAGACGCGCAAGCUUGAGGGGCUUGUGGCUGCAAAGCCGUGGAGGUUCAAGUCCUCUCGUCCGCA
rnacentral:tRNA from 2 species